rnacentral:sRNA from 1 species
GCUGGGUGUGGUGGCACACACCUGUAAUCCCAGCAGCUCAGGAGGCUAAGGCAGGAGAGUCACAAGUUCAAAGCCAGCUUCAGCAACUUAAUGAUGCCCUGCUCAACUUAGUGAGACCCUGUCUCAA